rnacentral:rRNA from 1 species
ACACCAGACUCCUACGGGAGGCAGCAGUGGGGGAUAUUGCACAAUGGGGGAAACCCUGAUGCAGCGACGCCGCGUGGGUGAAGAAGCGCCUCGGCGCGUAAAGCCCUGUCAGCAGGGAAGAAAAUGACGGUACCUGAAGAAGAAGCCCCGGCUAACUACGUGUCAGCAGCCGCGGUAAUACGUAGGGGGCAAGCGUUAUCCGGAUUUACUGGGUGUAAAGGGGGCGCAGACGGCAAUGCAGGCCAGGAGUGAAAGCCCGGGGCCCAACCCCGGGACUGCUCUUGGAACUGCAUGGCUGGAGUACAGGAGGGGCAGGCGGAAUUCCUAGUGUAGCGGUGAAAUGCGUAGAUAUUAGGAGGAGCACCGGUGGCGAAGGCGGCCUGCUGGACUGUGACUGACGUUGAGGCCCGAAGGCGUGGGGAGCAAACAGGAUUAGAUACCCUCGUAA